rnacentral:lncRNA from 13 species
CAGUAUUCAUGUAUUAAAGGUUUAGUUUUAAGUUUAUACACUCAGUAUCUGGGUACCCCAGUAUAUAUUUUAAAUGUUCCAAUAACACAUUUAAAAUAUCUUAUCAGGGUGUGGUGGCAUGCAUCUCUGGUUCCAGCUACUUGGGAGGCUGAGGCUAGAAGAUCACGUGAAGCCAGGAGUUUGAGGCUAUACUGUGCAAUCAUUGCGCCUGCGAAUCGUUCCGACACUCCAGCCUGGGUGACAUACACUUUGAGGAUAUUAUUCUGUUUCCUGCUGGUUCUGUUUUUGCUGACAAAAACUCUGCUUCAGACUGACUCGUUCUUCAGGUAAUCUGAGUUUUCUUUCUGGUUGUUAUUUAAUAUAUAUGUGUGUUUUUAACUUUAGCAUUAUUUAUGUUUACUAUGAUGUAUCUAGCUAUGGAUUUAUUUUCAUUUAUUUAAUGUCUCUGUAACUCUUAUUGGAUGUAUGUUUGACCGUCUUUAUGUCUGUUAGCAUUUUUUUUUUUAUUUGAGGUGGGUAUUUCACUGUGUUGCUUAAGGUGGUCUUGAAUUCCUGGGCACAAGUGAUCCUCCUGCCUCAGCCUCUUAAAUGGCUGGGAUGAUAGAUGUGAGUCAAUAUGCCUAGGUUUAAGCAUUUAAAAGAAUUAUAUAUACAAAUAUAAAUAUAACAUAUAUAUAUAUAUAUAUAUAUAUACACACACACACAUAUAUAUACACUUAAUUUGUUUAUUUGUUUUGUAUUAAUUGGGAGUAAUUUAUUUAGAUCUAUCUGCCAGUUCACACAUUUGUUCUUGAGCUACUGAUUAGCCUGUCCAUUAAGGAUUUUCAUUUUACUAAACAUGCCUCUCACUUUUGCAAGUUUUAUUUGGCUAUUUUUCAAAUUUAUCUUCCUUUUUUCAUUAUGUUCUGUUCUUUUAUUUUUAUGGUGAUUCUUUUAUCUAUUUUAUCAUUCUAAGCAUACUUAUUUAAUGAUGUCUCUCAGACUGCUUUAUGACAUUAAUUAGGGUUCUAGUUCUCUUGUUUCUUGAGUCUUCUGAGUCUCCCCUAUGAAGACUUGCUUGCGUGGCUUGUCAUUUUUGUAUUUUAAACUUUUCUUCAUCUGUAGGAUUCUUGGGCAUGCCAGGUUGUGUCAGUGACCCUAAACAUAGGUUUUGGAGUUUACUUUUGUCAAGUUUAUUACCUUUAUUUGUACAUUAGAUUCUUUAUUUGAGAUUGUAAACUCAGGAGUAUGAAUGGAUACUCUAUAUAUGCAUGAGGCACAUCUGUGAGAGUUUUAAUAUUGGCUGAUUUUUUUCUUCUUUCGUAGCAAGCAGAAACAAAUUUCCUUGUUGCUCACUAGAACUACUAUGUAUCACAUUUACUGUCAGUUCACAUGCUCACUUCUCUAACCAUGCUUUCUCUUUAUUUUUGAUGCAGGGAACUGUUCUGUCUUUCAAACUCAACUAUGUAUUCCAUUUUUUGUUAUAUUUCAUCCAGCAUUUCCAUGAGUUAGAGGAGAAAGUUGUUUGUGUUAGUUUGGCUUGCCAUGUUGCUAGAAACAAAAAGCUCUUUAUUAUGAUUGUUCUGUAUUAAUUUGUCCAAAGCACUAUUUAUCAAAAGACUGCUGCCAUUCUUACUGUUCUUGUCAUUUUUAGGUGAUUUUAAGAAAAGAAUCAUAUGGUUGCUAGGAUGAAAUCCAUAGCUAACCCAAGUUGCAACAUUUCCAUUUUGUUUUUGAUGACUGGAUUUCAUACUUAGAUUACACUCAUGGCAUACAGAUGGAAAUAAAUCACUUUUAUAAAUUGAUAUCCA